CCUAGCUUGCUAGGUGGAUUAGUGGCGCACGGGUGAGUAAUAUAUAGAUAACGUGCCUCUUAGUCUGGGAUAGCCAUUGGAAACGAUGAUUAAUACUAGAUACUCCUUCUAACUCUAAUGUUAGUCGGGAAAGUUUUUCGCUAAGAGAUCGGUCUAUAUCCCAUCAGCUAGUUGGUAGUGUAAGAGACUACCAAGGCAAUGACGGGUAGCGGGUUUGAGAGGAUGAUCCGCCACACUGGUACUGAGACACGGACCAGACUCCUACGGGAGGCAGCAGUGAGGAAUAUUGCACAAUGGAGGAAACUCUGAUGCAGCAACGCCGCGUGGAGGAUGACGCAUUUCGGUGUGUAAACUCCUUUUAUAUGUCAAGAAAAUGACGGUAGCAUAUGAAUAAGCACCGGCUAACUCCGUGCCAGCAGCCGCGGUAAUACGGAGGGUGCAAGCGUUAUUCGGAAUCACUGGGCGUAAAGGACGCGUAGGCGGGAUGCCAAGUCUGAUGUGAAAU
rnacentral:rRNA from 1 species